UUCCAGACUCCUACGGGAGGCAGCAGUGGGGGAUAUUGGACAAUGGGGGAAACCCUGAUCCAGCGACGCCGCGUGAGUGAAGAAGUAUUUCGGUAUGUAAAGCUCUGUCAGCAGGGAAGAAAGAAAUGACGGUACCUGACCAAGAAGCCCCGGCUAACUACGUGCCAGCAGCCGCGGUAAUACGUAGGGGGCAAGCGUUAUCCGGAUUUACUGGGUGUAAAGGGAGCGUAGACGGUGCAGCAAGUCUGAUGUGAAUGGUCGGGGCCCAACCCCGGGACUGCAUUGGAAACUGUUGAACUGGAGUACAGGGGAGGUAAGCGGAAUUCCUAGUGUAGCGGUGAAAUGCGUAGAUAUUAGGAGGAACACCAGUGGCGAAGGCGGCCUGCUGGGCUUUAACUGACGCUGAGGCUCGAAAGCGUGGGGAGCAAACAGGAUUAGAUACCCUUGUAC
rnacentral:rRNA from 1 species